GGGGAAUUUUGGACAAUGGGGGCAACCCUGAUCCAGCCAUCCCGCGUGUGCGAUGAAGGCCUUCGGGUUGUAAAGCACUUUUGGCAGGGAAGAAACAGCCUGGGCUAAUAUCCCGGGCGACUGACGGUACCUGCAGAAUAAGCACCGGCUAACUCCGUGCCAGCAGCCGCGGUAAUACGGAGGGUGCAAGCGUUAUCCGGAUUUAUUGGGUUUAAAGGGUCCGUAGGCGGACUUAUAAGUCAGUGGUGAAAGCCUGUCGCUUAACGAUAGAACUGCCAUUGAUACUGUAAGUCUUGAGUAUAUUUGAGGUAGCUGGAAUAAGUAGUGUAGCGGUGAAAUGCAUAGAUAUUACUUAGAACACCAAUUGCGAAGGCAGGUUACCAAGAUAUAACUGACGCUGAGGGACGAAAGCGUGGGGAGCGAACA
rnacentral:rRNA from 1 species